rnacentral:RNase_P_RNA from 2 species
GAAAGUAGGUGAGGCAGUUGCGAGCGGGCGGUGUCGAUCGCUAGCCCGUUCGAGGAAAGUCCGGGCACCCGAAAGACCGAACUUGCUGGGUAACGCCCAGUGCGCGCGAGCGUGAGGAUAGUGCCACAGAAACAUACCGCCUUUUACAGUGAGCAGUGAGCAGUGAGCAGUGAGCAGUUUUUGACUGGUGACUGGUAACUGGUGACUGGCGACUGUAGAAGGUAAGGGUGCAAAGGUGCGGUAAGAGCGCACCAGCAGCAUCGAGAGGUGCUGGCUCGGUAAACCCCGGGUGGGUGCAAGGUCGGAGGAACGACGGUUGGUCUUUUACCGGUUCCAAUGUUGGAGAACCGCUCGAGGUGUUUGGUAACAAACGCCGUAGAUAGAUAACUGCCCUCUAUGCUGCGUUUAGCGGUUUAGGGAACAGAACCCGGCUUAUGACUGCUUUCUCUG